rnacentral:rRNA from 1 species
GACCCGACUGCUAUUUGGGUGAGGAUAAGCCAUGCGAGUUGAAUGGGAAACCUAAAGUUCCCAUGGCAAACUGCUCAGUAACACAUGAUCAACUUACCCUAUAGAGAAAAAUAACCUCGGGAAACUGAGGAUAAUGUUUCAUAGUUGAAUUGGCUUGGAAAAGUUUUUCGACGAAAGGGGUAAAAAAAAUGGUUUUUAUCUGCUAUAGGAUAGGAUCGUGUUCGAUUAUGGUUGUUGGUGAGGUAAUGGCUCACCAAGCCGAUAAUCGAUAGGGGCCGUGAGAGCGGGAGCCCCGAGAUGGGUACUGAGACAACGACCCAGGCCUUACGAGGCGCAGCAGGCGCGAAACCUCCGCAAUACACGAAAGUGUGACGGGGUUACCCAAAGUGUUCAAUUUUGAACUGUGGUAGGUGAGUAAUGUUCCCUACUAGAAAGGAGAGGGCAAGGCUGGUGCCAGCCGCCGCGGUAAAACCAGCUCUUCAAGUGGUCGGGAUAAUUAUUGGGCUUAAAGUGUCCGUAGCCGGUUUAGUAAGUUCCUGGUAAAAUCGGGUAGCUUAACUAUCUAUAUGCUAGGAAUACUACUAUACUAGAGGGCGGGAGAGGUCUGANGUACUGCAGGGGUAGGGGUGAAAUCUUAUAAUCCUUGUUGGACCACCAGUGGCGAANGCGUCAGACUGGAACGCGCCUGACGGUGAGGGACGAAAGCCANGGGAGCGAACCGGAUUAGAUACCCGGGUAGUCCUGGCCGUAAACGAUGCAUACUANGUGAUGGCACGGCCAUGAGCCGUGUC